GUGAGAAGGACCGCGUUGGAGAAGCAGGGCACGUGCAUGCAUAUGUUCAUCAUCAUCUUCUUCCUCCUCCUCUAGCUCCAGCCUUGUGUGGGUUGGAAGUUUAGAUAGAACUCGCACUGCACGUGGUCUCCUUCUCCAUCCCGGUCUUUUUCUCAC
rnacentral:pre_miRNA from 3 species